rnacentral:lncRNA from 1 species
CUUGUAUGUCAUACCAAUGUCUCCACACUACUUGAUUACGAGGACAACCAACACAUAUGAUAUACAACGACCUUUACUCGAUAAACACUAUCGUCCUGGUAAUAGCAUAUCAUUUGAUCGUGAACUUAUUUUAAGGACUAAAUGAUAUAUCCUCUUAUAUCAAUUAGGAUAGUCCUAAGGACUUCAUCACAACAAUUGGAGUUUAUUAAGAAGAUAUACACUACUUUAUGAUGAAAAAGUUAAAUGAUAAUUUUAUUAAUUUAUCAAUUCAUAUACAUUUAUAUAGUUUAGCACAACCAUCAACAGACUGAUGAUUGACUUUGAGACAUAAUUUUCACCAACUC